UCAUCAGUUUUAUGUUUGGGACCAUUUUGCUGUUGCCCUGCAUCUGGGAAAUGAAAAGGUUCUUAAGUUUGAUGUUGAUAAACUUGGAGAGAACCUCAAGUAUUGCAAGAAGGACGAUGUGACAUACAGCAAAGAUAAAUUUCGGCCAUUUAUAGACUUUGAUGAAGCUACAGAGUUGGUCUCAAAGUUGUGGCCAAACAGACGAGGUCCUCUGGAGGUGGAGCCUUCACUUCAGCUGAGUUACCAAGAAAUGUAAGUAAAGCUUGAUGAAGUGGAAGACCUGGUGGUGAGAAUCAUCAACACUCCACCCUUGUCAGGAUUAGAAGAUGCAGUCGGGAACAGGGAGACCCAAUAACCUUGAAAUCAGAGAUCUCAGAAAGGUCUCACAUCUGCUGAAUGAGGUGAAGAACAUGAUUGAAGGCAGAUAUUAAAAUCCUAAAUGUUUUUAGAGAACAUCAGAUUCAGUAUAAUCACCUUUAUUAAUGUAUGCUUAACUUCACCAAUAUUUUUAGAUUCUUUUACCUCCUUCCAAACUAAACUCUCAGCCUCUCUGACAGCAGCAGUUUUUAAUGAGCUGUAGAAGAUCAGAAGGAAAUAUUUGAUCAAUCUAAUGUUUUCUG